GAUGAACGCUGGCGGCGUGCCUAAUACAUGCAAGUCGAGCGAACAGACGAGGAGCUUGCUCCUCUGACGUUAGCGGCGGACGGGUGAGUAACACGUGGAUAACCUACCUAUAAGACUGGGAUAACUUCGGGAAACCGGAGCUAAUACCGGAUAAUAUAUUGAACCGCAUGGUUCAAUAGUGAAAGACGGUUUUGCUGUCACUAAUAGAUGGAUCCGCGCCGCAUUAGCUAGUUGGUAAGGUAACGGCUUACCAAGGCAACGAUGCGUAGCCGACCUGAGAGGGUGAUCGGCCACACUGGAACUGAGACACGGUCCAGACUCCUACGGGAGGCAGCAGUAGAGAAUCUUCCGCAAUGGGCGAAAGCCUGACGGAGCAACGCCGCGUGAGUGAUGAAGGUCUUCGGAUCGUAAAACUCUGUUAUUAGGGAAGAACAAAUGUGUAAGUAACUAUGCACGUCUUGACGGUACCUAAUCAGAAAGCCACGGCUAACUACGUG
rnacentral:rRNA from 1 species